rnacentral:rRNA from 1 species
UACAUGGGGUGCAAACGUUGCUCGGAAUUAUUGGGCGUAAAGCGCACGUAGGCGGUUCGUUAAGUCGGAUGUGAAAGCCCUCGGCUCAACUGAGGAAGUGCACCCGAAACUGGCGAGCUUGAGUACGAAAGAGGAUCGCGGAAUUCCCGGUGUAGAGGUGAAAUUCGUAGAUAUCGGGAGGAACACCGGUGGCGAAGGCGGCGAUCUGGGUCGAUACUGACGCUCAGGCGCGACAGCGUGGGGAUCAAACAGG